rnacentral:rRNA from 1 species
UAGUGGGGAUAACGUUCGGAAACGGACGCUAAUACCGCAUACGUCCUACGGGAGAAAGCAGGGACCUUCGGGCCCUGCGCUAUCAGAUGAGCCUAGGUCGGAUUAGCUAGUUGGUGAGGUAAUGGCUCACCAAGGCGACGAUCCGUAACUGGUCUGAGAGGAUGAUCAGUCACACUGGAACUGAGACACGGUCCAGACUCCUACGGGAGGCAGCAGUGGGGAAUAUUGGACAAUGGGCGAAAGCCUGAUCCAGCCAUGCCGCGUGUGUGAAGAAGGUCUUCGGAUUGUAAAGCACUUUAAGUUGGGAGGAAGGGUUGUAGAUUAAUACUCUGCAAUUUUGACGUUACCGACAGAAUAAGCACCGGCUAACUCUGUGCCAGCAGCCGCGGUAAUACAGAGGGUGCAAGCGUUAAUCGGAAUUACUGGGCGUAAAGCGCGCGUAGGUGGUUUGUUAAGUUGGAUGUGAAAUCCCCGGGCUCAACCUGGGAACUGCAUUCAAAACUGACUGACUAGAGUAUGGUAGAGGGUGGUGGAAUUUCCUGUGUAGCGGUGAAAUGCGUAGAUAUAGGAAGGAACACCAGUGGCGAAGGCGACCACCUGGACUAAUACUGACACUGAGGUGCGAAAGCGUGGGGAGCAAAC